rnacentral:lncRNA from 1 species
UUUAUCAUCUUAAAUAUCUAGAGUAAUUAUACUUCUUUGAUGCUUUUAUUGAAUGGUGAGUUUAAAUUAUAAAAUAUUAUGUUUUCCAAUUAAAAUGUUUUUUAAUAAAAAAUGAGAUUUAUACUGGUUUUGAAAUCAAAUAUUGUUUUGGGAAAAUUGAGUAUAUGGAGACUGUGUUGAAAUUUAUGAUUUUAUAUGUUAUUGAAAUUGGGGCUUAUGACACUAUGGUAGCAUAAUGGCUAAAUUUUUGGGGUUGACAUGAAAUAU